CGCCCCGCAAGGGGAGUGGCAGACGGGUGAGUAACGCGUGGGAAUCUACCCAACCCUGCGGAAUAGCUCUGGGAAACUGGAAUUAAUACCGCAUACGCCCUACGGGGGAAAGAUUUAUCGGGGAUGGAUGAGCCCGCGUUGGAUUAGCUAGUUGGUGGGGUAAAGGCCUACCAAGGCGACGAUCCAUAGCUGGUCUGAGAGGAUGAUCAGCCACAUUGGGACUGAGACACGGCCCAAACUCCUACGGGAGGCAGCAGUGGGGAAUAUUGGACAAUGGGCGCAAGCCUGAUCCAGCCAUGCCGCGUGAGUGAUGAAGGCCUUAGGGUUGUAAAGCUCUUUCACCGGUGAAGAUAAUGACGGUAACCGGAGAAGAAGCCCCGGCUAACUUCUUGCCGGCAGCCGCGGUAAUACGAAGGGGGCUAGCGUUGUU
rnacentral:rRNA from 1 species